AUUGAACGCUGGCGGCAGGCCUAACACAUGCAAGUCGAGCGGCAGCGGGGAAGUAGCUUGCUACUUUUGCCGGCGAGCGGCGGACGGGUGAGUAAUGCCUGGGAAAUUGCCCAGUCGAGGGGGAUAACAGUUGGAAACGACUGCUAAUAUCGCAUAUGCCCUACGGGGGAAAGCAGGGGACCUUCGGGCCUUGCGCGAUUGGAUAUGCCCAGGUGGGCUUAGCUAGUUGGUGAGGUAAUGGCUCACCAAGGCGACGAUCCCUAGCUGGUCUGAGAGGAUGAUCAGCCACACUGGAACUGAGACACGGUCCAGACUCCUACGGGAGGCAGCAGUGGGGAAUAUUGCACAAUGGGGGAAACCCUGAUGCAGCCAUGCCGCGUGUGUGAAGAAGGCCUUCGGGUUGUAAAGCACUUUCAGCGAGGAGGAAAGGUCAGUAGCUAAUAUCUGCUGACUGUGACGUUACUCGCAGAAUAAGCACCGGCUAACUCUGUGCCAGCAGCCGCCGUAACAC
rnacentral:rRNA from 1 species